UAGCUUGAUCCUGGCUCAGGACGAACGCUGGCGGCGUGCUUAACACAUGCAAGUGGAGCGACGAACCAGGCUUCGGCCUGGGGCAAAGCCGCGAACGGGUGAGUAACACGUGGGUAACGUGCCCCGAUGACCGGGACAACCCGAGGAAACUCGGGCUAAUACCGGAUGUGCUGCAGAGUCGUAAGUCUCUGCAACAAAGGAAGCUUCGGCCUCCGCAUCGGGAGCGGCCCGCGGCCCAUUAGCUUGUUGGUGAGGUAACGGCUCACCAAGGCUGCGAUGGGUAGCUGGUCUGAGAGGACGAUCACCCACACUGGGACUGAGACACGGCCCACACUCCUACGGGAGGCAGCAGUGGGGAAUCUUGCGCAAUGCGCGAAAGCGUGACGCACCAACGCCGCGUGAGGGAAGACGGCCUUCGGGUUGUAAACCUCUUUCAGGAGGGACGAAGGUGCAGGCGCGAAUAGCGUCCUGUACUGACGGUACCUCCAGAAGAAGCUCCGGCUAACUACGUGCCAGCAGCCGCGGUAAUACGUAGGGAGCAAGCGUUGUCCGGAAUCAUUGGGCGUAAAGCGCGCGUAGGCGGCCCUGUAAGUCCGCUCUGAAAGUCAAAGGCUCAACCUUUGAAAGCGGGUGGAUACUGCAGGGCUAGAGUCCGGAAGAGGCGGGUGGAAUUCCUGGUGUAGCGGUGGA
rnacentral:rRNA from 1 species